UAGGUUAUAUGUAUGUUUGUUCUAGGACUGUAUGUACUCCAGUUUUGGAGCAGACCAAGGCGGAACGCCCCAGCUCCGUUCUUCGAACUUUUGUGUGGAAUGUUCGUACGGACGGAUAGAAAUGAGCGUACUUCAGCAGACUGUUGAGGUUCAGAGCACCGGGUGACGGCUAGGUUUUCUUUGCGAACUCGGGUGGAAGUACGGACUGGCCACAGGCGAAGACAAUCAUUCUGUACGUACUUCCAAAACCGGUAGGUGAAUUUGGAAGCCCCCAUCCAUAGAGAUAGAGAGACAGGGAGGGCGGUAGGCAAAGAGAUGUGUGAAAUUCUGGGAAAAGUCCCCUCCAAAUCACUGGAAGUGGUACGUGGUACUUACUCAUCUGGAGAAUUCCUCCGACCUUUGGAAGAAUGUCCGCUUCGACAGUCCAGAUGAGGGGACAGGCAACCAAGUGCAAUUACCCAGAAUCCUCAUUGCAUCCUGGGUGAUUCAUGCCAAAUCCCUGAGUUUUGGUAGAGUCUCGCGAAAUGUUUCAAACUUCAUAGUUCAUACCCCACAGACGAUGAGAUGUCUGAGGCCAGCCACGCGACACAAUCGAAAAAAAAGCCCCAACACAUUGCCUUGAUGACUUGUCGAGUCCUCGGUUCAUAUGGAAGAAGGCCUCUCUUUUGGACGCUUCAGACAAUGAAAUAAGCCCUUUGAUGAAUGACUGCGAGACGUUUGCUCAGCCGGGAUGGAUUCAACGAUGCUUACUACCCGUACCAGUUACCAAGGGAAAGAAAGAGAUCUUGAGAUUCGCAAUCAAUCCCGGGGAAAAUUUCACUCCCAGCUUCUGGAUUCAUUCGAGUUCUUGAGUGCAACAAAAAGUCGAUGUUUGGUCAAAAAGAUCAGAGGAGAGGAGCUGAGAGCGAACUUGUUGUGCACUCUCUCUGUUCUCUGUCUUCAUUAAAAUAUUUAAAUGAUCCUCCCACCCUGGCCGGCCCUACCCAGAAGACACCACACGAGCACCUAGUCAUUAUCGUCAUGGCACAAAAUCUGACAUGGAAAUCAUUAUUCAUCGCCCAAAAUCGAAAAAGAUACUCAAACUAUUCCGACCAAUUGUGCCACGGGUAGGAAAAUGACUCCAAUGGUUUUCUGGGCGAAAACACAGAACAGACGGACGGACGGGUGGACGGACACGGGGUCUAUGAUGAUGAUGAGCUCUCUUUGGCCUUACAAGAUAAUUGGACUUGAAAUCAAUGUCUUCAUUAAGGCAAAAGCUUGGGGACGCAUUCUCCGCCCGCUACUGUUCAACCUCGUCCAGCUACACCAAGGACUUACAAAAUCCGGACAUCUCUCCCAUCAGCGAAGGCUACAAGAAUGAUAAUGAACGGUGAACGGUGAACGGGGAUACUUUGCCUGGAGAACUUAGGGAGCUCGAGAAAUUAUAAUAUUAUCGGCUCUUUCCA